CCCUUAGAUGUUCUGGGCUGCACGCGCGCUACACUGAAGCGUUCAACGAGUAUUUCACCUUGCCCGGGAGGGUUGGGUAAUCUUUUUAAAACGCUUCGUGAUGGGGAUAGAUUAUUGCAAUUAUUAAUCUUCAACGAGGAAUUCCUAGUAAGCGCGAGUCAUCAGCUCGUGCUGAUUACGUCCCUGCCCUUUGUACACACCGCCCGUCGCACCUACCGAUUGAAUGGUCCGGUGAAAUCUCGGGACGGCGGCUUGGUCGCUUGCGUCCGACUGCUGAAACUUGAUUAAACCAUAUCAUUUAGAGGAAGGUGAAGUCGUAACA
rnacentral:rRNA from 1 species